GUUCUCUCCUCUAUCUACUGCCCCUGUCAUCUCUGACUGCAAUGCAACCCUCUGUCCACCUGCAAAUUUCAGAAGCCUCACUCUUCCCAGAGCCCUCCCUGCAUUCCCUCACCUGCCAGCCCUGACCCCAGGACAUAAAAUCCACUCUGCCAUUACCAGCAACCAAAGAAGCUCAGUGACAUCACUCUGGGACCCUUGAUCAUGACCAGUUGGCUACACUCCCAGCAUCACUUUCAUUUCCCUUCUAUUCUCAGUUUCUGUCUUCAUUGUUCAACUCCUGAGGUCAGACGUGGAAGGAGUCACAGACACUGGCCCCUGGCUGUGCCAGCCAGCACCGAGGUGUGGGGACCAGCCCUACAACCCCUUGGAGCAGUGCUGUCACAAUGACACCAUCCUCCCACUGAAUGCGACCCAGCUGUGUGUCCCCAACUGCAUCUUCUAUCCCUGCUUCCAGCACUGCUGCCUAGAGACCCAGAGUUCUCAGAAUCAGGCAGUUGUGACAUUCAAGGUCCCAGGCAUGAAGCCUGACUGCAGGUUCUCCCCUGUCUCCAGGAUUUGUGCCCAGCGACACCACCCGACCAGCCCUCAGCCAGAUCUGACUUCAUCUAGACCAUCCUGGGGAGUGGAAUCUGGUAAAUCUAAAAGCCCUGAAAAAUUAUAAAACAAAGAUAACACUAUGAACAGUGGAGAGAAAAAGGCAGACUGGAGUCCUCAGGUCCAAAGGACAAUGUGUUGGUGAGUUCCCUGGACUUUCUUUUACUUUCUAAGACUUGGAACUGAAGAAGUCAACAACCCAGAAAGAGUGAUGGAAGAACACCAACAAAGCAAGUUCAAAAGUCCUCCCUCUACUCAAAGGACCAGGACAAGGGAAGUCUAACAAGAUAUGCAAUUUGGGGGCAAUAAUGGCUUUACUCCAACCAAACAUCAGCAAAGUCCAGUAAAGAACCUUUCACACUCACCUGCCUAUGAAGAGUAACUCCAACCCCCCCUUGUCUUCUUCCAUUUUUCUGUUACUAUAGCAUGAUCCCUGAGGCUGAUCAUGUAUAAAGAAAAGAGGUUUAUGUAGCUUACAAUUCUGGAGGUUUAAGGUCAUGGCACCAGCAUGGGCUUGCUUCUGGUGAAGCCCUUAUUGGAUAGCACAAUGACAGGAGCCCAUGUGACAGGAGAGAUCACAUCCUAAGAUAGGAAAUCAAAGCACAGCUGAGGUCCCUUGAAACUACAUCAACCCCUUCCAAAGGCACUCCCCAAUGAUCUAGAGACCUCCCACCAAGCCCCACCUCUUAAGGGUCCCAGACCUCUUAACAGCCUUACACCAAGGACCAAGUUUUCAACCCAUGAGCCCUUGGAAAGCAAAUUGCAUUCAAUCUGCAGCACCCCUCAUGCAUGCCGUCAGAGAAGAACAAGGGGUGGGUUGGGAAUGGUAUUCUUUCAGGCAGUGACAAGGCUUCCCUCCACCAAUUUACCUGCUAUAAAGAUAUUUUAUUCAUGUUACAUCCUGGAUUAUAAUUUUCUUUUAAAAAUUAUAAAAUUUUUAAAAUUAAUAUUUUUAAAAAAAUUUAUAAAAAAAUACAAAAAUUUUUUUGGUACUGGGGAGUGAACCCAGAAGUGCUUAACUACUGCGCCAUAUCCCCACCCUUUUUUGUAUUUUAUUUAGAGACAGGAUCUACAAGGAAAACUUCCAGGAUCUAAAAAGAAAACUUACUUAGGGGCUUUCUAAGUUUCUGAGGCUGGCUUUUAACUCAUACUCCUCCUGCCUCAGCCUCCCAAGCUGCUGGGAUUAUAGGAGUGCACCACCAUGCCUGGCUAAGAAGUUCUUGCUCUCUUACAUCUCUAUAAAUUUAUUGUGUCUUCAAAAUGUAUACUUUUAAAAGCUUAAUUUUCAACUUACACAAAAAUUUAAAAUCAACAAAAAAAUGUUUGCAUUUAAUUUUGGGAAUUAUCUUUUCAAUUAUGUAACUGGGGCUACUGAGAAUAUUUUAUAGUCUGACAACACUGUGGUAAAUUUCUUUCUUUUGCUAUAUGUUUUCUCUUAAUUGAAAGAUUAUUCCAAAAAAUUCAACACAUACACUAAUUUUAAGGGUAUAGUGUUUUAAAAUAUAUGUGCAUUUUACACCACUCACAUCAAGAUACAGAGUAUUUGUUUUACAUGAAUGUCAUGUAAUUUCUCACAUAAAGUUUCUUAACUGUUACAUCCUAUAUUGUAUGUUUAGUAAACAUGAAAUAUUUUGUUGGAGUCAGGCACAGUGGUACACACCUAUAGUCCCAGCUCCCUGGAGGCUGGAACAGGAGGAUUGCUUUAGCCCAGGAUUUCAAGAACAACCUGGGGAGCAUUAUGAAACUGUCCCCCAAAUGUAUAUUUUUUUAUAUUCUUCAAUUCUACCUAAUAAAAAUGUUGCUUUUUAGUUCUGUGGACUGACUUAUGAUUUCCAUUAUUAAAAAAAACUUUUAUCCUUCGUUUGAUAAAAAUGUGUAUGUACAAUUAAGUUUAUUUUUUUGUUCCUGUUGUCUUGUUUGUUU